ACCGGUUGAGGUUACUAACCCAUUUCUUAAAUAUAGGAAACCAUUUAUUAUCUAAAACCAGUCUCUUAAGUUUAAGUAUUUGACUAAUAAAAAAUGUUGUUGUGAAAUAAGAGACUGUUUCCAUGUACAACCGGUUUCCUUGAUAUAUUUUAUUUUUCUAAUUCAAUUUUUUUUAACAUAAUACACUAUUAUACGUAUGUAUUCUUAUUGUGAAGAUUUAGGAGACUACUUCUAACUUCAAUCGAUUUCCUAAAAAUAAUAAUUUUAAAACUUAAUAUCUUUAUAAUUAAUACUAAUGCAGUAUAAGUUUUAUAUAAAACUAUUUACUUUUAAAAUUAUGCAACAAAUACAAUAGAAAAAAAACUACCUCUCCUAAUAUUACUCUAGAUCGUGAUUAAUACCUGUAAGGCUGUAACCUGUCAAAAAAAAAAAAAAAAAACAAGCCAUUGCUUCUUGCGCCAUAGCAACUUACGCCAUAGCUUGAACAAUCUCAUAGCUUCAGUCGACUCGCACACCAUCCCUACAACCACCACUCCCCAUAAUCCAAAAUUCUCCCCAUAAUCCAAAUGCUUCCAUCAAAAUUUCACCUUUGCUUUCGUAAAAUUCAUAAUCAAGGCUCUCACAUUGUUCAAGUUGUGAUUCUCGUCAAUUAUUUUCGUCAAUUCUUCUGGAAUGUGUGAUUCUUUUCGCUAAUUUGUGAUUCAUUUGGGAAGAAAAGACAUUUUCGAAAAAGUAUAAAAUUGGUGCACUUGUAAAGGUAAUUUCAGCAAUUUUUUUUUAUCUGGCAAGCAAGCUUUUCAUUGUUAUAUUCAUCAAUUUUUUAUUCUCGUCAAUUCUUUUCAUCAAUUCUUCUGGAAUUUAUGAUUCUUCUUCAUAAAAAAGAAGUCAAAUUUAAGUGCUUCCUCUCUUCAGAUUCUGCAAUUUCUUCGGUAAAAUUCUCGAAUUUAACUAAUUUUUUUUCACUUGAAUUGUUUGAGGAACUGGGUUGAAUGUAAUGGGAAUUGGGUUUGAUUUCAAUUAUUUGAUCUGUUGGAAACUGUGCUGGAUUAUGGAGUAGAAAGUAGAAACUAACUAAGAUUAUAACUGCAUUUAAGUUAUCAACGAUGGAAAAUCGGAAAUAUAGCUUGAUUUUGAUUGAUAAAGGGCCUCCAUUUUAUCAAGAACAUUAUAGGGAAACCUAACAUCAUGUUGUUACUGGAAAUUUAUGCAAGUAGUGUGAAUGUGCCAUGUUGGAUAGUGUGUGUUUUAAUUUGCAACUAUUUGAGAAUGGAGGAAAAUGUGUGUGUUUAUUGAGUGACAAGUUAAGAAUCAGUAUCUAAUUUGGCUGUGAUGAUCAGUUGUGGGAUCUUUCUUAUGAUAAUGUUUGCCGAUUUCGCUAAAUUUGGAUACACCUCUAUGAAUAAGAAGUUCCAGAGAUGCUGAUGAAAAGGUUGAAGAGGGCUGAUUCUUGAGACAUGGAGUCCGCAAAAUUAUUGCUCUGAUUUUUUUUUUCUUAUUCAUUCUCUUCAUAAUCUUCUCGCCUGCCUGAAUAUCUGUCUGUUAUUGUUGUGAUCUUAGUUACCAGUAUAAACGUAGACAACAAACUGGAAGCAGGGCACAUGAAAGUUCUCCAAUUGUUUCCAAUUGCAGAGAGAUUACUGUGAAAUGUGAACUAUGAUAUGAUCAACUUUCCUUCUAGCAAAGAUCUUUCUUAUAUAUGAUUCUAUAAAAGCACACAUGAGUGAUCAGUAUGAAGGAUUAAAAAAAAGUAAAAAAUUAUUGCUUAUCAUACACACAUCUAUUUUAUUUAUUUUAUAUUGCAGGAUACAUCGUUAAUUUUAUUUUUUUUAGCAAAUUGUGCUCAAUAACGAACCCUAAUCUAUCGUGGUUCAAUCUGCUAAUCAUACUCGAUUGGUUUUCUCUGCAAAUUACUCAAGGUGAGUGCUUUUGAGCAAAAUCUCCAUAUUUUGUUGUUUAUGAACCGAAAUAAGUUCCAGACUAAUCCGGAAUGAAGAUAAGUUUACUUAAUUUUUAGUGUUGUUUCGUGUAAUUCUUGGGAAUUUCCUUGAAAUUCAAUGGCUUUCUGUGACUUUAUGCUAUUUUUCGUUUUCUAGGUUGAAUUUAUAAGUUCUUUGUUCGUUGAUGAAGGAGAGUUUCUGAAAAAGAAAAUUAUCUGUGCUACAUACUCCAUUGAUUCAACUGCAAUUACACAAAGGUCGGGAUUUAAACUGAAUUGCGCUGUGCUACAUACUCCAUUGAUUCAACUGCAAUUACACAAAGGUCGGUGCAAUCCCGGGAAUUCAAACUGAACUGAAUACUCGAUUGAUUCAAUCUGCAAUUACUCAAAGGUUACUGGGUUAUAACACCAAGAAAGAAAGGAAAGAAGCAGCAAGUAUCCCAAGGAUUCGUGUGCGUGAACUGUCUGAAUUUAUGUCCUCGUCAAGCUCUGGGCUCCAAAGAUUGUGGCUAUUAUGUUUGUCGUUACAUGAUUGAAACUAUCGCAAGUAGACGACAAUUAAUUCCUGAUAAGUAUUUUCCAGGGACUCCUAGCACUUAUUCCCAAGAGAUGAUUGACGAGUUAAGAGAUAUGUGGGUGGAUUAUUUAAACAAUCAAACACAAGACGAUGGAGAUUGAAGACGACGGUCAAGUUUGAAUUGUACAUAUUAUUUAAUUAUUUUAGAACUUUAGUUGUAGUAGCUAGCAUUAGAUUAUAGAAAUUUUAUUUUAAGACAUUAUUAGAAGAAAUUGAUGUUUUGAAUAAAAUUGAUUUUGUAUAUAAAUUAAAUGUAGCAAAUAUUUUUUUCACGUGAUGAAUAAAGCAAGCAAGUCGUUAUAUUUAAUAAUAUUGUUGUGGGUAUUUAUAAAUUGUUAUACAAACCUGUCAAAAAAAAUUAAAAAAAAAUAAAUUGUUUUAAUAGAAAAAAAAGAGUAUAUACGAAGAGCCGCAAAUACAUGAUAAUGUAUGUAUUGUAACAUUUUACUAAACCUAAGAAACCGG